rnacentral:rRNA from 1 species
UACAGAGGUCUCAAGCGUUGUUCGGAUUCAUUGGGCGUAAAGGGUGCGUAGGCGGCGCGGUAAGUCGGGUGUGAAAUCUCGGAGCUUAACUCCGAAACUGCAUUCGAUACUGCCGUGCUUGAGGACUGGAGAGGAGACUGGAAUUUACGGUGUAGCAGUGAAAUGCGUAGAUAUCGUAAGGAAGGCCGGUGGCCGAAAGCGAGCCUCUGGACAGUUACUGACGCUGAUGCACGAAGGCCAGGGGAGCA